UUAAAGUUGUCUCAACAUAUUAUACUGUGAUAGAAGAAAAUAUUUGUACAACGAAAAAUGACACACUUAAACUUUAAGCUACGCAUCAAAGGGCAAAGACGAUUUUGCCCCUUCAAUCAACCCAAAUAACAACGGAUAACCAUAAAAUGUCUGGAGCAACCAGAGAGAGCCUCUAAAAGGAGAUAUGCAUAUCUGUGAAGCCAAUGAUAGUAAGGAAUCUCAAGAAGUCAAAAAGGGAAGGAAGCGUCUGAGAGCGAAAGUAAGCUGAGGCCAGCUCCUGUCGUCAUCUGCCUCAGUUGCAGAAGGUCAAAGGUCAGCCUGUCAGCCUGAGAACCAAAGUUCACAAAUGACUGAAAAUCAUGGAAAUUCAUUGGUGAAAUGGGGUAAAAAUGGUGAAAGAUGCUGCAACUGUAGAAGUCGUGACGAAUCAAAGGCAGCUAAUUGGUGUUUUGUCUCGCCCAGCACAAUUGUCUCAUUUCCUGUCAGGCUGAUGAAUGAUUGGAUGAUUGAUUCUCCAGCGUGAUGCAGCACACGGACUCGUGGCUGAUUAGACACCAGAGGGAUCGUGCUACACGGCAGCAGGGGCCGAUCUUUAAGAAACACGGCACCUGAAGAUUGUAAUCAGAGACGACGGCUCUCACACAGCGGCCCGCGUGUCGCUGCCACCAAUCAGAUUCUUGUCAGGGCAGAUUUAUUAAAUCAGAAUGACCUUAACUACUUCUGAUUGUAAAUGAAGGG